GAUGAACGCUGGCGGCGUGCCUAAUACAUGCAAGUCGAGCGAACAGAUGAGGAGCUUGCUCCUCUGACGUUAGCGGCGGACGGGUGAGUAACACGUGGAUAACCUACCUAUAAGACUGGGAUAACUACGGGAAACCGGAGCUAAUACCGGAUAAUAUAUUGAACCGCAUGGUUCAAUAGUGAAAGACGGUUUUGCUGUCACUUAUAGACGGAUCCGCGCCGCAUUAGCUAGUUGGUAAGGUAACGGCUUACCAAGGCAACGAUGCGUAGCCGACCUGAGAGGGUGAUCGGCCACACUGGAACUGAGACACGGUCCAGACUCCUACGGGAGGCAGCAGUAGGGAAUCUUCCGCAAUGGGCGAAAGCCUGACGGAGCAACGCCGCGUGAGUGAUGAAGGUCUUCGGAUCGUAAAACUCUGUUAUUAGGGAAGAACAAAUGUGUAAGUAACUAUGCACGUCUUGACGGUACCUAAUCAGAAAGCCACGGCUAACUACGU
rnacentral:rRNA from 1 species